rnacentral:rRNA from 1 species
AGCGGCAGACGGGUGCGUAACACGUAUGAAACCUACCGGGUACAGGGGGAUAGUCGCUGGAAACGGCGAAUAAUACCGCAUAAUAUUAUUUUGAGGCAUCUUGGGAUAAAGAAAGUUUAGAUACGGUAUCUGAUGGUCAUGCGUCUGAUUAGCUAGUUGGCGGGGUAAUGGCUCACCAAGGCAACGAUCAGUAGGUGGUCUGAGAGGAUGAUCACCCACACUGGCACUGAGACACGGGCCAGACUCCUACGGGAGGCAGCAGUAGGGAAUAUUGGGCAAUGGGGGAAACCCUGACCCAGCCAUGCCGCGUGCAGGAUUAAUGCGCUCUGCGUUGUAAACUGCUUUAGUAUCAGGGUAAAAGCUACAAAGAAUUGUAGAAUUGAAAGUAUGAUAAGAAUAAGCACCGGCUAACUCCGUGCCAGCAGCCGCGGUAAUACGGAGGGUGCAAGCGUUGUCCGGAUUUAUUGGGUUUAAAGGGUGCGUAGGCGGGCAUAUAAGUCAGCUGUGAAAUGCUUCAGCUUAACUGGAGAAUUGCGGUCGAUACUGUAUGUCUAGAGUGUAUUUGAAGUAACUGGAAUGAGUAGUGUAGCGGUGAAAUGCAUAGAUAUUACUCGGAACACCGAUUGCGAAGGCAGGUUACUAAGUUACAACUGACGCUGAUGCACGAAAGCAUGGGUAUCAAACAGGAUUAGAUACCCUGGUAGUCCAUGCUGUAAACGUUGGAUACUAGA